UUAAGUUCAGCGGGUAUUCCUACCUGAUCCGAGGUCAACCUUAGAAAGAUAAAGGGUAGACCGGCCCGGAAGGUCCUUUAGACUCGACGCGUGCUUCCGAAGAUGCUCGUUGCGAAGAGGGUCCCACGGACGCCGUCAUUGUCUUUGAGACCAGUUGGCUUGCACCAACGCGGCCCAACACCAAACACGAGGGUUUGAGG
rnacentral:misc_RNA from 1 species